UAAUGAAGUACCUAGAAUUCUCUGCUUGAGAGCUCUAGUGUAAUUCCUCUAACCUAAGUACUAAGAGCUCUCUGGAAGAUAAUUUUGUGUACUGCAGUAA
ensembl:miRNA aca-mir-5445 aca-mir-5445